CACACAUACUGUAUGUAGGGUAGAGUCCUGCACGGAUCAGUUUUUUUUAACUGCACCUGCCCCACAUCAAUUCCAAGCCCCCACCGAUAUCAAACAUCAGAGCAGAUUUUUCAGGGCAGAAUUGUUCCCGAGAGCCAAUCCGUGACCCGCCAAACAACAUACAUAAAUGUCUUAUGACUCCAGAGUAGUAGGCUAUUAGGCUAUGAAUUUGUCUGCAAGUGACAUUUGGCUUAAUGAGUUACAAAUAAGUUACAUGGAUUCUGUGUGAAAUAAUAAUAGGGGUUGACAUGAUUUUCGAAUGACUGGCCUCCUAAAGAAGGGCGGUGAUUGAUCAAAUGGGUAACAAUUACAAAUCAGACAUUGAACAUAUUUUUAUGCAUGGUCAAGUUAUGCUGUGGAUCAUGUAUUAAACCACCGAGACACAUCAAAUAUGCAGUCGUCCUUGACACGCUGGUAUAAAGGAUUUGGAGACAGACGCAGGAAUACAUCAUCUGGGUUGCACAAAACGCAGCACAGGCUGAGACUACGCAUAGGUACUCACACCACCAACGGACACGGGAACGAUAACAGCAGCACAGGCUGAGACUACGUAUAGGUACUCACACCACCAACGGACACGGGAACGAUAACAGCAGCACAGGCUGAGACUACGUAUAGGUACUCACACCACCAACGGACACGGGAACGAUAACAGCAGCACAGGCUGAGACUACGUAUAGGUACUCACACCACCAACGGACACGGGAACGAUAACAGCAGCACAGGCUGAGACUACGUAUAGGUACUCACACCACCAACGGACACGGGAACGAUAACAGCAGCACAGGCUGAGACUACGUAUAGGUACUCACACCACCAACGGACACGGGAACGAUAACAGCAGCACAGGCUGAGACUACGUAUAGGUACUCACACCACCAACGGACACGGGAACGAUAACAGCAGCACAGGCUGAGACUACGUAUAGGUACUCACACCACCAACGGACACGGGAACGAUAACAGCAGCACAGGCUGAGACUACGUAUAGGUACUCACACCACCAACGGACAUGGGAAAUAUAAUCGACAGCCCAAUGGGGAAACAAAGGGCACAUUUAUACAAACAUAAUCAGUGAGGAAUUGGAACCAGGUGUGCGUAAUGACACAGUUCAGUGCAGCCU